AGGCGCAAACACAUUCAUCGGCGAGCGUCAAGGUUCAGAAACUUAUUAUAGGGAGAGACUAAGUAGGCAUGUCAGCAUGUGCUGAGCAUGAAUUACAGGGUAUAUCUCCUUUGGCACGGAGGCAUGCAGCCAUGCGUAAGCAUGUUAAUGGAUGGAGUUGAUCGAGCUAAGCACCAAUAUCAGAUAUUGGCUUUGAAAUGCGAGUACAUCAGACUGUUUUCAGUCAAUUGUCGUGAUCAGCUAGACUACCUUGCAGGUGUCUUCAACCAUUAUAAAUUUAUAUGGAUCAAAGAAGCUAUAUAUCCUGCUGGCACCAACUGCUCAUGAAAACAUGUGAAUUCAUCUUCAGGACAUGUGAGUUUCUCAUUAUGUCACAAAGACAAAACCGUUCCUUUCUCUCCUCAAAACAGAACAUAUAUUUCAGACACAACACAUUCAGCUGUACAGUAAUAUGUACUCUACCAGCCAUGGUGCGUGGGGGGUUUAUGUAUAUUUAAGGUCAUAUGGACAAACGAUGGGCUCCCAAACGUAUUAGAAAUGAGGAAGCCAAUGCUUGUAUAUAUGGAACACCAUGGACAAAAUGGUCGAAAAGCUAACUCAUGGCAUCAUCUUACAACUAGGAAGGCCACCCGUGCAUUUGCGCGGCUAGAUGUUACAAUCUCUAAUGUUACAUUUUAAAUUAUUUAAUUAUUUAUAUUUAUUAUUUGUGCAGUUAGGUGUAAGUAUAUUUAAGGUUACACCUUUUUAAUUGGCUUUCAUAAAGUAAUUUUUUGUUGACGAAAAUCAAGAUCUAUUAAAGCAAUUUUGAGGAUCAAUAAUUUGAUUUUAUUUUCAUACUCCUUCUAGGUUUGAAUUGGAUGCCAUUUUGAGAUAGUUCUAAGUUUGUUGUUGUAUAUGUUGAUUAAAAAAUAUUUAGUUUCACUAAAGUGUAAAUUUUUUAAUAGUACUCAAAGUUGUGUUUUGAGGGUCGCGUCAAUAGCAAACAGAUUAUUAUUCAUUUGGAGGUAGUAUUAUUUUUGACAUAAGAAUUUUUGUGAGCAUUUUUUAGGUUUAUGUGUUACAGUUAAUGUUGUAGCGUAUGUUUUUAUUUAUUUUAUUUGGAUUCUAAGUCAAUGAUUUGCGGCAGCUUCUUGACAUCUUCCUAGUACUCACCUGGUGGUGCUGCUUCUUGUUUGCUGUUAUUUUAGUUGCUCAAGGGGAGAGAAAAAAAAAGAGGUUUACUCUCUCAUUCCCAACUUAACUCGUAGAAUCGAUAGAGCAAGUGAAUCAUAUUCACUCACAACCAUUCAUUUCUUCGUUGUUGCCCCUAAUCCAAUAAUAGUUCCUCUACACUCUACUCCUCCGCGUCGUCCACUCCGUAUCCGCGCUGGCUUGUGGUCUUUCCUUUUUCUCAUUUUCCUUUUCUUUUUUCUUAUUUUUUUUCUCACCCCCCUUAUAGUUUCCAAUGGAAUAUGGAUUUAGUGCACCUAUUUUAUUCCUCUCUUAGCCUUGGGUACUAAUUUAAUCAAUUUAAAUAUGCUGCAACUGAUUUGACUAAGACAGUGAGCUAAACAAUGGUUGACAUAAGGUUGUUUCUGGUUUUUUUUAGCGUCAUUUAUUAGUGUCAACAUGACUUUUGACUGAAAUGUUAGUAAGUAGAACGCAUAUUAACUUUUUCUGUACAUGUUUUGAUUGUAUGCUAAAAAUAAUAUUCCUUGCUCCUAUAAGGUUACAAUUAUUCAACUAAAAUGAUAGUAUUUCUUAGUAAACUAUGAGGCUACAACUUUUCUACUUUUUCCAGCGUAGUGCUGGGGCGUGCAAAUAUUUUUCUGAAGCUUGCCCGAAAUUUUUUUAGCAAUGUUUAUGCCAGUAGAAAAAAUAAAUUAAAAAUCAUGAUAGUAAUUUUUAAGAAUCUCCUAGCUUACCCUACGCUAGUUGUUUGGAGUCUCAUUACUUUGUUACAUAUUGGAAUAAUUUCUUUAUAAUGGCAUGGUGGGCUAUAUUUAGUCAAACAUAUUGGUAUUUUGGGCCAAUUUUUAUCGUAAUAGCAGUGGUGGGUAAUUUUAAUUUCUCUUAUUUUCUCCUAUUAACGUGAGAAUUUUUAGGCCUUGAAAUCGAACGUGGAGGCUUCGUUUGUUGGCCAAAUAAUAAGAUAUCUCAGUACAUUGUGAGGCUACAACUUUUCUACUUUUUCGAGCGUGGUGUUGUGGUGUGCAAAUAUUUUUCUAAAGCUUGUUCGGAAUUUUUUUUAUCGAUGUUUAUGCCCGUAGAAAAAAUGAAUUAAAAACCAUGAUCGUAAUUUUUACGAAUCUCCUAGCUUACCCAAGGCUAGUUGUUUGGAGUCUCGUUACUAUGUUAAAUAUUGGUUUAAUUUCUUUAUAAUGGCGUGGUGGGCUAUAUUUAAUUAGACACAGGAGUAUUUUGGGUCAAUUUUUAUCAUAAUGGCAGUGGUUGGAUUAAUUUCUUUAUAAUGGCAUGAUGAGCUAUAUUUAGUCAGACACAGGGGUAUUUUGGGUCAAUUUUUAUUAUAAUGGCAGUGGUGGGUAAUUUUAAUUUUUCUUAGUUUCUCCGAUUAACGUGAGAAUUUUAAUUUAGACCUUGAGAGCGAACGUGGAGGCUCCGUUUGGCCAAAUAAUAAGAUAAUAGAUAACGAGGACGCAUGCAAUUCAAAUUCCACUUGAGGUUAAAAUUAAACCGCCUCAGGCGAAUUAGCAUUAUCACAUUUUUCAUCAUCUAACACUUGUCGAUAAUAUAAUCGCCUCCUUAAAAAAAAUGAAAAGUGCAUAGUCUCUAAAACAUAGAUGAUGGGUUUAGUGAUGUUUCCAACGUGAGGAACUAAUAACGUUGUUGAUAAUAUUAAUUUGUAUACCAAAGCAAAUAGAGUAAAAUAAACUAAGUAUAGGUCCACCAUAAAAUAGCUCCAGACCCAUCGGAAGGCUUUGCUUACAUGUUCUUUGAAGUCUACCCAACAUAGUUUGCAGCACUAGUGACGAUAAGGCAUGCCUUUAAGCACAGGGUGAUAGAGAUCACCGAACUUGAAGUAGAAUUAUCCAAACCACUACACCAAAAGUCCAAAACUAGACAUAACCGAUCGAGCCCCCAGCAACUGCAACUCUGCAAGUGACAAGUUUCUCUAACUUUAGUGUCCAUCUACCAACUAACUUGCAUUGACAGGCAAUAAUGAGUAUAAGGAUAGGCGCGCUUAGUUUCGUGUCCAAUAAGGUAGCUGAUGGAACAACUGUCUUGUUUUGGACAGAUACUUGGAAUGGUCAACUCCUACAGUUAAAAUUUCCAGAGCUUCAUUCCUUUGCCAAAGACAAAGGGAUCUCAUUCAAAAAAAACCCUCUUUUCCUAAUAUGACGGCAAUUCCAAGACUUAACAAACAGCAUACAACUUUUACAACCACAAGGGGAUAAGAAUAUUUGGACCUAUACUUGGGGCAACACGAACUUCUUCUCGAGCUUACAAAGAAAUUAUUGGCCACCGCGUGGUCCAUCCUCUUUUUUCAUGCGAUCUGGAAAUCCAAGUGUCAGAUGAAGCACAAGGUAUUCUUUUGGCUACCCUUGAGAGACAAACUGAGUACUAGCGAUCUACUUAGAAGAAGGAACAUGGUGCGAAAGGACGGGCGGUUGAGUUGGCUAGCCCGGCCCGGUAGCGUCGCGCUCCCAGCAGGUCCUGAGUUCGAAUCUCAUCAGAAGCAAAUUUCAGGCUGCUAGAAGAAAAAAAAACCCUCGCUGUACUCGUCGCAAGGCUUGGCCCUCUCGGGCAUGGGCCAGGGUUCGGGGGGGUUUCUCUACCCGGUUAGCCGGUUAGGCUUCCUCUUAAUGAAAAAACGGUGGGGUCCGUUUCACACCUCCCGGGUAGAGUUUUUUUUAGAAUCUUAGAGUAACUCCAAGAGACUCUCUAUAUAUAUCCUAAUUGUUAAGAAUAUAGAUUUUGAUGGAAAAAUAGCCUCCAAGAGCUUCUCUAAGUGCUUAUCCAAAUAUAACCAUCAUCUAUUCCGGAUUUCUCGCUAGCCAAAUAUAGAUAGCGAAAAUGACUCUCUAGAGUGUAAACAAGAUAUAGAAAAGCUGUUGGAAUGUGAAAAUAUAUAGAGAUGGAUUUUUAUGUA